UUCAUGGAGAGUUUGAUCCUGGCUCAGGACGAACGCUGGCGGCGUGCCUAAUACAUGCAAGUCGAGCGAACCGACGGGAGCUUGCUCCCUUAGGUUAGCGGCGGACGGGUGAGUAACACGUGGGU
rnacentral:rRNA from 1 species